rfam:Cavia porcellus supercont2_6 genomic scaffold, whole genome shotgun sequence.
GGGGAUUUAGCUCAGUGGUGUAAGCACCUGCCUUGCAAGCAGGCAGUAGUGAGUUUGAUCCCUG